rnacentral:rRNA from 1 species
AGUGAACGCUGGCGGUAGGCCUAACACAUGCAAGUCGAACGGCAGCACAGUAAUAGCUUGCUCUUACGGGUGGCGAGUGGCGGACGGGUGAGGUAUACAUCGGAAUCUACUUUUUCGUGGGGGAUAACGUAGGGAAACUUACGCUAAUACCGCAUACGACCUUCGGUUGAAAGCAGGGGAUCUUCUGACCUUGCGCGAUUGAAUGAGCCGAUGUCGGAUUAGCUAGUUGGCGGGUUAAAGGCCCACCAAGGCGACGAUCCGUAGCUGGUCUGAGAGGAUGAUCAGACACACGGGAACUGAGACACGGAACAGACUACUAAGGGAGGCAGCAGUGGGGAAUAUUGGACAAUGGGCGCAAGCCUGAUCCAGCAAUACCGCGUGGGUGAAGAAGGACUUCGGGUUGUAAAGCCCUUUUGUUGGGAAAGAAAAGCAGCAGGUUAAUACCCCGCUGUUCUGACGGUACCCAAAGAAUAAGCACCGGCUAACUUCGUG